rnacentral:rRNA from 1 species
CCUACGGGAGGCAGCAGUGGGGAAUUUUGGACAAUGGGCGAAACCCUGAUCCAGCCAUCCCGCGUGUGCGAAGAAGGCCUUCGGGUUGUAAAGCACUUUUGGCAGGAAAGAAACGUUCCGCGUUAAUACCCCGGGAAACUGACGGUACCUGCAGAAUAAGCACCGGCUAACUACGUGCCAGCAGCCGCGGUAAUACGUAGGGUGCAAGCGUUAAUCGGAAUUACUGGGCGUAAAGCGUGCGCAGGCGGUUCGGAAAGAAAGAUGUGAAAUCCCAGAGCUUAACUUUGGAACUGCAUUUUUAACUACCGAGCUAGAGUGUGUCAGAGGGAGGUGGAAUUCCGCGUGUAGCAGUGAAAUGCGUAGAUAUGCGGAGGAACACCGAUGGCGAAGGCAGCCUCCUGGGAUAACACUGACGCUCAUGCACGAAAGCGUGGGGAGCAAACAGGAUUAGAUACCCUGGUAGUCCACGCCCUAAACGAUGUCAACUAGCUGUUGGGGCCUUCGGGCCUUGGUAGCGCAGCUAACGCGUGAAGUUGACCGCCUGGGGAGUACGGUCGCAAGAUUAAAACUCAAA